GCGCGCGAUACAGGGUGACAGCCCCGUACACAAAAAUGCACAUACUGUGAGCUCGAUGAGUAGGGCGGGACACGUGGUAUCCUGUCUGAAUAUGGGGGGACCAUCCUCCAAGGCUAAAUACUCCUGACUGACCGAUAGUGAACCAGUACCGUGAGGGGAAGGCGAAAAGAACCCCGGCGAGGGGAGUGAAAAAGAACCUGAAACCGUGUACGUACAAGCAGUGGGAGCCUCUUAAUGGGGUGACUGCGUACCUUUUGUAUAAUGGGUCAGCGACUUAUAUUCUGUAGCAAGGUUAACCGAAUAGGGGAGCCGAAGGGAAACCGAGUCUUAACUGGGCGUUAAGUUGCAGGGUAUAGACCCGAAACCCGGUGAUCUAGCCAUGGGCAGGUUGAAGGUUGGGUAACACUAACUGGAGGACCGAACCGACUAAUGUUGAAAAAUUAGCGGAUGACUUGUGGCUGGGGGUGAAAGGCCAAUCAAACCGGGAGAUAGCUGGUUCUCCCCGAAAGCUAUUUAGGUAGCGCCUCGUGAAUUCAUCUCCGGGGGUAGAGCACUGUUUCGGCAAGGGGGUCAUCCCGACUUACCAACCCGAUGCAAACUGCGAAUACCGGAGAAUGUUAUCACGGGAGACACACGGCGGGUGCUAACGUCCGUCGUGAAGAGGGAAACAACCCAGACCGCCAGCUAAGGUCCCAAAGUCAUGGUUAAGUGGGAAACGAUGUGGGAAGGCCCAGACAGCCAGGAUGUUGGCUUAGAAGCAGCCAUCAUUUAAAGAAAGCGUAAUAGCUCACUGGUCGAGUCGGCCUGCGCGGAAGAUGUAACGGGGCUAAACCAUGCACCGAAGCUGCGGCAGCGACACUAUGUGUUGUUGGGUAGGGGAGCG
rnacentral:rRNA from 1 species